rnacentral:rRNA from 1 species
GAUGAACGCUGGCGGCGUGCCUAAUACAUGCAAGUCGAGCGAACGGACGAGAAGCUUGCUUCUCUGAUGUUUGCGGCGCACGUGUGAGUAACACGUGGAUAACCUACCUAUAAGACUGGUAUCACUUCGGGAAACCGGAGCUAAUCCCGUAUAAUAUCUUGAACCGCAUGGUUCAAAAGUGAAAGACGGCCUUGCUGGCACUUAUAGAUGGAUCUGGGCUGCAUUAGCUAGUUGGUAAGGUAACGGCUUACCAAGGCGACGAUGCAUAGCCGACCUGAGAGGGUGGUCGGCGACACUGGAGCUGGAACGCGGUCCAGACUCCUACGGGAGGCAGCAGUAGGGAAUCGUCCGCAAUGGGCGAAAGCCUGACAGAGCGGCGCCGCGUGAGUGAUGAAGGUCUUCGGAUCGUAAAACUCUGUUAUGAGGGAAGAACAUAUGUGUAAGUAACUGUGCACAUCGUGACGGUACCGAGUCAGAAAGCCACGGCUAACUACGUG